GACGAACGCUGGCGGCGUGCUUAACACAUGCAAGUCGAACGAGACGAUUGAAAGCUUGCUUUCGAAAGUCGAGUGGCAAACGGGUGAGUAACGCGUAGACAACCUGCCUUUGAGAUGGGGACAACAGUUCGAAAGGACUGCUAAUACCGAAUGUUGUAUAUUUUCCACAUGGAAGAUAUAUUAAAGAUGGCCUCUAUUUAUAAGCUAUCGCUCAAAGAUGGGUCUGCGUCUGAUUAGCUGGUUGGUGGGGUAACGGCCUACCAAGGCGACGAUCAGUAGCCGGUCUGAGAGGAUGAACGGCCACAUUGGGACUGAGACACGGCCCAGACUCCUACGGGAGGCAGCAGUGGGGAAUCUUCCACAAUGGACGAAAGUCUAAUGGAGCAACGCCGCGUGAGUGAAGAAGGGUUUCGGCUCGUAAAGCUCUGUCGUCGGGGACGAAUGUGCAGUAUUUGAAUAAAGUAGUGCAAUGACGGUACCUGACGAGGAAGCCACGGCUAACCACGUGCCAGCCGCCGCGGUAA
rnacentral:rRNA from 1 species